UGGUGGCUUACGAUAUCGGGGAUAAAUUCAACAGAUCUUCGAGUUUCGAUUCAAAAUCGGUGACAAUCGGUUUGUAAAGGUUUCUACGUUUAGCAACUUAUUAUUUUCAGACUCCAUCUUGCUCUCUUCAGAAUGGGAAAGACUCCUGGUGAAUGGAUCAAGACAUUGCUUCUCGGGAAGAAGUCUCCCAAGUCGAAUUCGGAACACUGAAGCCAGAAACUGAAAUCUGCUAAGAAAGAAAAGCUGGUGGUGUCGGUGACAGAAGAUUUUUCAAACUUAACUCAACUGUUGAUCUUCCAGUGGUUUCAUCACAACCAGUUCCAGCUUCUACUGCUCACAAUGUGGUUUCUCCAGUCAAUGGCGAUGAUGCUGUUUUUUUUUCAUGUACUGAAGGCAAGUGCAUCUAUCUUUAUGUGAUUUGAGGUAUCUAUAUAAGUGGAGGUCUAUCAGUUCUUUGCACAACUAUCAGUCUAUCACCAUAUGUGAUAUUAUCGUGGGAAUUAUAAUGUUCUCUGUUUACAUGCUGUUUUAUGCUUACUUCUGUUUUAUGCUUCUCAAUUUAAUAUAAUGUUCUCUGUUUUACUGCAAGGAGUAUAUGGAGAUACUUGGGGAGCUGGAAUCUGUUAG